ensembl:lncRNA
GUCAGGCUUGGUUGACUUGACCAUGUCUUUAUUUAACUUAUCUCUUUUGCAAAUCAGAUCAUAUCUUUCCAUUGAUGCCAUCCCCGAUAUGUUAUGCUACCACCAAAGAAAUGAUCUCAUUGAUACCAUCUGGAAAGGGAUUGGGUUGCCUGUAUAGUCAGUUUCAGUUCAUCUCUAGGUGUAAUUCUAGCAGAGUCUUGAAACCUAAGCACUGAACAAAAAUGUAAGAGAUUUUUCUGCCUUCUUUGUCUCUUGCUAAAAUUCCUGCAGGAAUGACUUGGUAGGUUCAAUGAAUUGUCUUCACCUCUGGAGUUCUUUGAUCUAUUCAAUACAAUAUGUUGUGCUAGUCAUUUUUUCAUUAAAGACUUCAGUGGUAUUUUUCUCAUCUCAGCAAAAUCUUGCUUUCUAUGAUGGGGCUGCUAUUCCAUCCAAAGAUACCCAAAAUAGGCAAUUGGUUCCAUAAAAGCAGUGCAACUCUUUGAUCACUAAAACAGCCUGAUUCUCUUUGGAAUUUAGUUUAUUCAGAUUCCUUUGUAUGUACUAUUGUUUGAUGACUUAAAGUAUAAUUUUCAUUUUAUCCUAUAUUUUAUUAUUGCAAUAAUAAUCUUUUGUGACCCAAAGAAAAUCUAUCUGAAAACAGCUGUUAGUGGCUUUUACACUGUCCUUUAAACACCUUAUCACUUAUGAUCUCCUAGAUUACAAUGUUCAUUUGUUAAAACAUUUUUUUGUAUUAUGUCCAUGCAUUAUCUGAACUAUACUAACUUACUAUUAUUAUAUAUUGUGAGAAGUUCUCACAUAGUCUCAUUUUCCUCAUGAUUUUCAUCAUUAUUUCAUUUAUACUAUACAGUAUGAUGACAUUUUACUAUUUUUUGGUCGAGUUUUAUUUACCUUUGUAUUCUUUGAUACUUGGAAUAAGUCCUAAGCAAAUUUGUGUAACAUAUGAGAUCUUAUUCUUGAUACCAGUCUCAUCAAAUUAAAUUUCCUGUAUUUAAAAAUUUCUAGUUGCUUAUUUUUCUACAUACUGCAUAAGAAGUUGUUUGUUAGAGGUGGUAGAAAUAAAUUAUCAUGUAUGAGGACCCUAAAAUCAUAUUGGUAUAGAUUCAGAUCUUAACUGUAUUACUUCAUGAUCUUGGGCAAGAGCCCGAGUUUCCUUAGUUUAAAAUGAAGAUAAGCCAUCCUAAUAUCUACCUUAUAAGGAUCUUAAAAGUUUUAAAUAAAUUAAACAUUCCUUUGCCAAAUUACUAUUUUAACUAAAAUUUCUGUUUUACAGCUAAUAGUUUGUAUCUCUUAAACCCCUCUUAAGGUCCUACCCUUAUUAUACCCCUCCCCCUUUCCUGUCCUCAUUGGUAACCCUAAUUUGCUCUCUGUAUCUGUGGUCUGCUUCUUUUAAAAAGAAUUUAAGUCAG